UUACGCUGUUAUCCCUAAGGUAAUUUAUUUUAAAAUACUAAAUUUUAGGUUUAUAAAUUCAUUAAUUUAUGUUUUAUUAUUUUAAAGUUUAUAAAAUUAAAAAAUUACCCCAAUUAAAUAUUAAUUAAAAUUUAUAUUAUUAAUAUUUAUAAUUUUAAUUUUAAUUUAUAUAAAAUUCUAAAGGGUCUUCUCGUCUUUUAAUAAUAUUUAAGAAUUUUAACUUAAAAUUUAAAUUUAAUUUUAAUUUUAUUAAUAAAGUUUAUAUUUCAUUUAAUCUUUCAUUCUAGUUUUCAAUUAAAAAACUAAUUAUUAUGCUACCUUUGUACAGUUAUUGAUACUGCAGCCAUUUAAAUUUUCAUUGGGCAGAUUAGACUUAAAAUUAUUUUCAACAAGACAUGUUUUUGUUAAACAGGCG
rnacentral:rRNA from 1 species